rnacentral:rRNA from 1 species
GACAGAGGUGCCAAGCGUUAGGCGGAAUCACUGGGCUUAAAGCGUGUGUAGGCGGAUGUCUAAGUACCUUGUGAAAUCCCACGGCUCAACCGUAGAACUGCUUGGUAUACUGGAUGUCUUGAGCCACUUAGGGGUUACCGGAACAAAUGGUGGAGCGGUGAAAUGCGUAGAUAUCAUUUGGAACGCCAAUGGUGAAAACAGGUAACUGGGAGUGUGCUGACGCUGAGACACGAAAGCUAGGGGAGCAAACGGG